CGGAGAGGUAGCAUGAGAAACGGCUACCACUUCUAAGGAAGGCAGCAGGCGCGCAAAUUACCCAAUCCUGACUCAGGGAGGUAGUGACAAGAAAUAACAAUAAACCGGCUUAUGCCGGUUUAAUUGGAAUGAGUACAAUUUAAACAUCUUAACGAGGAACAAUUGGAGGGCAAGUCUGGUGCCAGCAGCCGCGGUAAUUCCAGCUCCAAUAGCGUAUACUAAAGUUGUUGCAGUUAAAAAGCUCGUAGUUGGAUUUCUGCGGGGACGGAGCGGCCGGACGCAACUUGCGUCUCGAGCUAGCGCUUUCCCCGCAUCCUGCCGCGAACCGUGCUACCAUUAGUUUGGUGGCGCUGGGGAUCGGCUCGAUUACUUUGAGAAAAAUAGAGUGUUCAAAGCAGGCCACACGCCUUGAAUAAGUUAGCAUGGAAUAAUGACUAAGGACUUUGGUUCUUUUCGUUGGUGUUCGGGACUGAAGUAAUGAUUGAUAGGGACAGUUGGGGCGGUCCGUAUUCCAAAGCGAGAGGUGAAAUUCUUAGACCUUCGGAAGACGAACAGCUGCGAAAGCGUUCCGCAAGGAUGUUCCCUUUGAUCAGGAACGAAAGUUGGGGGAUUGAAGACGAUCAGAUACCGUCGUAGUCUCAACUAUAAACUAUACCAGCUAGGGAUCGGCCAACGUUUAAUUAUUCGACUUGGUCGGCACCUUAUGAGAAAUCAAAGCAUCUGGGUUCCGGGGGGAGUAUGGUCGCAAGGCUGAAACUUAAAGGAAUUGACGGAAGGGCACCACCAGGCGUGGAGCCUGUGGCUUAAUUUGACUCAACACGGGAAAAUUUACCAGGUCCAGACAUAGGAAGGAUUGACAGAUUGAUAGCUCUCUCUUGAUUCUGUGGGUGGUGGUGCAUGGCCGUUUUUAGUCGGUGAAGUGAUUUGUCUGCUUAAUUGCGUUAACGGACGAGACCCCAGCCUGCUAAAUAGCGCGGCCGAGCUUUGCUCGGUACGAGCUUCUUAGAGGGACCAUGAUGCGCGAUAGCACAAGGAAGUUUGGGGCAACAACAGGUCUGUGAUGCCCUUAGAUGUUCUGGGCCGCACACGGGCUACACUGGCGCCUGCAACGAGCAUAUCAGCUGGCCCGAGAGGGUCUUGGCUAAUCUUUGGAACCGGCGCCGUGCUUGGGAUUGACCAUUGCAAUUGUUGGUCAUGCAACGAGGAAUGCCUUGUAAACGCGAGUCAUCAGCUCGCAUUGAAUACGUCCCUGCCCUUUGUACACACCGCCCGUCGCUCCUACCGAUGAAUGUUCCGAUGAAAUUUUCGGAGAGCGCCGGAGAACGGGGCUCUGCCCUGCAGAACUGGAGGCUCAAAGUCACUUAAAUCUGAACAUUUCGAGGAAGGAGAAGUCGUAACAAGGUAACC
rnacentral:rRNA from 1 species